AUAGAAUAUAGUUGGUCAAGCAAAUCUUGUCAGUAGAAAAACGCGGCAAAUUUGAAAAAUCGCGGGCUAGCAACACUGUGUUCGAAUAAUUCCAAAAUCGCGUGUAAUCUGUGUUUUAUCUGUAGAAUGUGGAUCGUCCAUCUUGUUUGUUUACAUUCCGAAUCGGUGCUAAUUCAAGAGAAAUUUCUGCUCCCAGCAUUAAAAUAAAUAUAAAUAUAUUAAAUAAUAUUGUGCAUGACCAUAAGCAAAGUCAAGAUGCCUACAAUGGUUAAAAGGCUUAAAUAAAGAUAAAACGUAUGCCUAAAUAUAUCCAAUAAGACCACGAAUUGUGCCCUCGAAACCGCAACUGAUUCGAUUGUUCCCAAUAUCAACAGACGAAGUCCUCAAAUAUUUUCAAAGGAUUAAAACUCGCCCAAUAUAAGGCGUUCGUAAAAGUUUCUCUUCAUACAAAACUUACCUACGGCGGUUUACGUACAUACGUGUACAACGCAAACAAGACGAAAAAUAAACUUGUUAAUUAAAAAAACUAAAAAAAUUGGGACAAUAGUUUAGAUUAUUAUUGUAAAAGUUGUCCGUUUGUUAAUCAUCACGAAAAUAUAUUAUUUAGGCUGAUUUGUUUCAUGCACUCAGCUAUUGCACAUGUAUACCUAUGGAAAAUCCUAGUUUAUACUUUCUGA